UACGGGGGGAGCAAGCGUUGUUCGGAUUUACUGGGCGUAAAGGGCGCGUAGGCGGUCAGCACAAGUCAGUUGUGAAAUCUCCGGGCUUAACUCGGAAAGGUCAACUGAUACUGUGCGACUAGAGUGCGAGGGACAGGCUAGAGUCAUGUGUAGCGGUGAAAUGACGUAGAUAUCGAGAGGAACACCUGCGGCGAAGGCGGGUUGCUGGGCUACACUGACGCUGAUGCGCGAAAGCCAGGGGAGCGAACGGG
rnacentral:rRNA from 1 species